GAGAAAUCUGGAGACAGAUACGAGACGCCGCUACACACGCUGCCGCCACCUGAGACGGCCGGAAACUCAGGAACGCAUGGUCUAGAGGAACACAGCCAAUCAGACCGUUAGUAGAGGAACACAGCCAAUCAGACCGUUAGUAGAGGUCUAGAGGAACACAGCCAAUCAGACCGUUAGUAGAGGUCUAGAGGAACACAGCCAAUCAGACCGUUAGUAGAGGUCUAGAGGAACACAGCCAAUCAGACCGUUAGUAGAGGUCUAGAGGAACACAGCCAAUCAGACCGUUAGUAGAGGUCUAGAGGAACACAGCCAAUCAGACCGUUAGUAGAGGUCUAGAGGAACACAGCCAAUCAGACCGUUAGUAGAGGUCUAGAGGAACACAGCCAAUCAGACCGUUAGUAGAGGUCUAGAGGAACACAGCCAAUCAGACUGUUAGUAGAGGUCUAGAGGAACACAGCCAAUCAGACCGUUAGUAGAGGUCUAGAGGAACACAGCCAAUCAGAC